UUAAAGACAAAAGUGAUACAAGAGGCUACUUUCAGAAGUCUGUUGUAUUACUGACAAACCUCCCUCUCACAAAUCUUUACAAACAAGUCGUGGCCAUCAUUGCGAACAACUAUUUUGAGAGUGGUGAACCAAGUAUUGAAGCAGGUUGUCAUGAUAUUGAUCAAUGGCCAUCUCCAACACCAGGAUCCACCCUACACCUGCCAUUAAUGGGAACAGUAUUUCAG